rnacentral:rRNA from 1 species
AACGAACGCUGGCGGCAGGCUUAACACAUGCAAGUCGAACGGGCGCGAGCAAUCGCGUCAGUGGCAGACGGGUGAGUAACACGUGGGAACCUUCCUAGGGGUACGGAACAACUCAGGGAAACUUGAGCUAAUACCGUAUACGUCCGUAAGGAGAAAGAUUCAUCGCCCCUAGACGGGCCCGCGUCGGAUUAGCUAGUUGGUGGGGUAACGGCCUACCAAGGCGACGAUCCGUAGCUGAUCUGAGAGGAUGAUCAGCCACACUGGGACUGAGACACGGCCCAGACUCCUACGGGAGGCAGCAGUGGGGAAUUUUGGACAAUGGGGGCAACCCUGAUCCAGCCAUGCCGCGUGAGUGAAGAAGGCC